UACGUAGGUGGCAAGCGUUGUCCGGAAUUAUUGGGCGUAAAGCGCGCGCAGGCGGUCCUUUAAGUCUGAUGUGAAAGCCCACGGCUCAACCGUGGAGGGUCAUUGGAAACUGGGGGACUUGAGUGCAGGAGAGAAGAGUGGAAUUCCACGUGUAGCGGUGAAAUGCGUAGAGAUGUGGAGGAACACCAGUGGCGAAGGCGGCACUCUGGGCCGGAACUGACGCUGAGGAGCGAAAGCGUGGGUAGCAAACAGG
rnacentral:rRNA from 1 species